CUCCCCUACACUUCAAUUGUUUAAGAAGUCCCUCAAAACACAUCUGUUCAGAAAUACUUAUAGACUCCCAGAAUCUUAUCCAUACUUACCCAAGAAUGUCUCUUGCUCUCCUAAAGAGCCUUUACUCCACUCUCUCCUCCAGUUAUGCUACUUUUCCACCUUGUUUGGUGACUGUCACCCUUGCUGAAAGCUUGUUUGAGCAGGGUCCUCAUCUACCUAUUGUUCAUGUGUUACUGUGUAA